GAUGAACGCUGGCGGCGUGCCUAAUACAUGCAAGUCGAGCGAACAGAUGAGGAGCUUGCUCCUCUGACGUUAGCGGCGGACGGGUGAGUAACACGUGGAUAACCUACCUAUAAGACUGGGAUAACUUCGGGAAACCGGAGCUAAUACCGGAUAAUAUAUUGAACCGCAUGGUUCAAUAGUGAAAGACGGUUUUGCUGUCACUUAUAGAUGGAUCCGCGCCGCAUUAGCUAGUUGGUAGGUAACGGCUUACCAAGGCAACGAUGCGUAGCCGACCUGAGAGGGUGAUCGGCCACACUGGAGCUGAGACACGGUCCAGACUCCUACGGGAGGCAGCAGUAGGGAAUCUUCCGCAAUGGGCGAAAGCCUGACGGAGCAACGCCGCGUGAGUGAUGAAGGUCUUCGGAUCGUAAAACUCUGUUAUUAGGGAAGAACAAAUGUGUAAGUAACUAUGCACGUCUUGACGGUACCUAAUCAGAAAGCCACGGCUAACUACGUG
rnacentral:rRNA from 1 species